UACCGCGCAUGCUCAAGGACGAGCCUGCCUUGAGCAUGCGUGAAAGGUGCUGUGACCGCCCUCCGGGUUGUGGCUGGUGGCCUUCGGUGUUUCGGGUUUGGCAGUUCACUCACCAAGGUGAUCUGAUGGAGUGCACUUCGCACGAUUCCAAGUACUUGCCUAAUGUUCAUCCUUUCCUCUAGACGGGGUAGGGCUGGUUCUGGAUCUUUUUCCGCGGUAGCUGGAGAGACGUAGGACCUGAUGAUGGCUACUAGAUGCCUGGUAAAUGAUCCUUCAAGAAGUGAAUGAACCGGGGGCCGUGGCUCACAUGAAGUCAGCAGUUCGAGAGCAGCCUGACCAAUAUGGUGAAACCCCGUUUCUACUAAAAGUACAAAAAUUUGUUGGGCGUGGUGGCGUGCGACUGUAGCCCCAACUACUUGGGAGGCUGAGACAGAAGAAUUGCCUGAACCCGGGAGGCGGAGGUUGCAGUGAGUCGAGAUCGCCCCCGCUGCACUCCAGCCAGGGCGACAGAGCGAGACUCUCUCUCAAAAAAAAAAAAAAUGUCCAAGAUGUGGUCAUGGGUGAGGGUGUCUCGGGUGGCGUCAAGUCUGAGGUCGCUAGAAGUAAGCCUACUGAAUCUUUGCACUUAGACAAGCCACAGAUGCCUUAAAAUCUCCGAACUGUAGUGAUAUUUUCAACCCAAACUAUGGUUAGUUUCCAGUGUUCAUCCCAAGAUCCCCAAAAGCCUCUUACAAUCCCAGCAUCAGGCACAAAAUCUAGGAUCUCACGGUCUGUUUUAGAUUGGCUUGUCCGGUGCAGCUCCUCUUGAUCCAGAGACUUACAAACUAAAAAGAUUAAUUUUCUCUCCCGUGCACGCAAUAUAUGAUGGUGAGCCGGGACCAGAUAACCACAAUAAAUACUUGCAUGUGAAAAUGAGAAGAGGAGGAGACACAGUAAUCACUGGUCCAAAGCAAUUCUGAAAUCCUACUGGAAGAUGUUUUCAGGCCCUACAAGAAUAAGAAGUCUUAACCAGGCCCGAGUUCUGCUUCCUGGGAGUAUCUCCCCAGGCUGUAUCUCAGCACAGCUCUUGCCUCUGCCCUCUUGGGUGUCCCUCCUUUUCCAGCACCUUCUUGGCCAUGUUGAAGAAUGUGCCCUUUGAGAAACUUUCUCAACCUCCUUCCUGUCAUUAGCAAAUUGUGAGCCCACAGACCUUUUUUCACUCUAAACUGUUCUGUCCACAUUUUGGCAGCUGGUGGUGCUUUGUUCACUACAAGUCCCUUAAAAGCUUUAUGGGCUUCUCAAGAAUCUGAUUCAGGUGCUCUCCAUGCCCAAGAAGCCACUCCCACUAGUCUUUUUUUUUUUUUUAGACGGAGUCUCGCUCUGUCGCCCAGGCUGAAGUGCAACCUCCACCUCCCGAGUUCACGCCAUUCUCCUGCCUCAGCCUCCUGAGUAGCUGGGACUACAGGCGCCCGCCACCACGCCUGGCUAAUUUUUUGUAUUUUUCAGUGGAGACGGGGUUUCACCAUGUUAGCCAGGAUGUUCUGGAUCUCCUGACCUUGUGAUCCGCCUGCCUCGGCCUCCCAAAGUGCUGGGAUUACAGGCGUGAGCCACCGCGCCCAGCCACUUGUUAACAUUUAAAUCAUUGAGAUCACCUUGACUUCAGCAUUAUUCUUAAGGCCAUAUUUUAUUAGCGCCACUCUGAAUUUGAUCUUUGGCCCAGGUUAUGACUUACUUUGAGAACUUGUUACCAACUAUUGGGUCUAAUAAUACUUUCCCCAGCUUCAACCCAAAGUGUGCUCUAAAUUCUGCUGGCCAGUUUGUUUGUUUGUUUGUUUUUAACCACACUCUUUUCUAUAAGUGUCUCAACAUAUUCAAGCAAAAGAAACACAGGUUAAUCUCAACAUUAUACUGAUAUGAUCUUUUUCAAGUCCCAGAGUUCAGUAGUUGCCUUUUUCUCUGCCCAUCUUACUGAAGGGCAACAAUUUUACAAAUCCUUCACCGUGACAUAGAGUUGUUCACCAUUUGUCCACCUCCCGUAGUUUUCCUCACCAUUGUUCCAGUGUUCACUACCAGUUUCCCCACUGCUUUUCCAGACUUCUAGUCCAAAGCUAAUGCCACAUGUUACAGUAGCACCUACUGCUAGGUACAAAUGUCUGUAGCAUGCAUAUCUUCCUUGUAGUCCUAGAUAUAGAUCAACAAGCUCAUAAAAACUAUGGCUUUCUUUUUUUCUUUUUUUUUGAGGCGGAGUUUCACUCUUGUUGCCCAGGCUGGAGUGCAAUGGCGUGAUCUCCGCUCACCAAAACCUCUGCCUCCCGGGUUCAAGCGAUUCUGCAUCAGCCUCCCAAGUA
rnacentral:lncRNA from 1 species